UGUUCUGAUCAUUCUUUUUAGG
rnacentral:siRNA from 1 species